rnacentral:lncRNA from 1 species
UAAAAAUACAAAAAAAUUAGCUGGGCGUGGUGGCAUGCGCCUGUAGUCCCAGCUACUUGGGAGGCUGAGGCAGGAGAAUGACGUGAACCCGGGAGGAGGAGGUUGCAGUGAGCUGAGACUGUGCCACUGCACUCCAGCCUGGGCGACAGAGUGAGACUGUCUCAAAAAAUAAAAUAAAAUAAAAUAAAUAAAUAAAUAAAUAGCCUGCCCACCAAAAAUAAAACAAAGAACCACACAAAUUUACAGCUGAAUUCUACCAGAUGUAAAGUAAGAGCUGGUACCACUCCUACUA